AAGUAAAAGUUGAUUUUGGAAGUAAAAAUCGUAACAAGGUCUCCGUUGGUGAACCAGCGGAGGGAUCAUUACUGAGUUUACGCUCUACAACCCUUUGUGAACAUACCUACAACUGUUGCUUCGGCGGGUAGGGUCUCCGCGACCCUCCCGGCCUCCCGCCUCCGGGCGGGUCGGCGCCCGCCGGAGGAUAACCAAACUCUGAUUUAACGACGUUUCUUCUGAGUGGUACAAGCAAAUAAUCAAAACUUUUAACAACGGAUCUCUUGGUUCUGGCAUCGAUGAAGAACGCAGCGAAAUGCGAUAAGUAAUGUGAAUUGCAGAAUUCAGUGAAUCAUCGAAUCUUUGAACGCACAUUGCGCCCGCCAGCAUUCUGGCGGGCAUGCCUGUUCGAGCGUCAUUUCAACCCUCAAGCUCUGCUUGGUGUUGGGGCCCUACAGCCGAUGUAGGCCCUCAAAGGUAGUGGCGGACCCUCCCGGAGCCUCCUUUGCGUAGUAACUUUACGUCUCGCACUGGGAUCCGGAGGGACUCUUGCCGUAAAACCCCCCAAUUUUCCAAAGGUUGACCUCGGAUCAGGUAGGAAUACCCGCUGAACUUAAGCAUAUCAAAAAACCCGGAAGAAAAUUUCAAUAAGCCG
rnacentral:rRNA from 1 species